UACGAAGGGGGCUAGCGUUGCUCGGAAUGACUGGGCGUAAAGGGCGCGUAGGCGGCGAUCAAAGUCAGGCGUGAAAUUCCUGGGCUCAACCUGGGGGCUGCGCUUGAUACUUGGUUGCUUGAGUGGGGAAGAGGGUCGUGGAAUUCCCAGUGUAGAGGUGAAAUUCGUAGAUAUUGGGAAGAACACCGGUGGCGAAGGCGGCGGACCUGGUCCUUGACUGACGCUGAGGCGCGAAAGCGUGGGGAGCAAACAGG
rnacentral:rRNA from 1 species